CGACAAGCGGGAGGCGUGCGACGGCGGGGACGACAUCUUCAGGGAACAGCUAAAAGAAGGUGUUGGUGCUACCAUAAGAUGCCGUCUUUUUGUUGGGAUGACUAGGACUGAAGAGUUUGCAUCUUUGAACUUACCAUGGAGCUUUUCCAAUGAGACCCGAGGCGAGGAGCAACUCACUUGCAAGCAGGACCAACUUCAAUAUACGCAAGGAAAUCAAUACAUUGUGUGCAACUGAAAACUGUGUUUGCCUUAACCUGGAGAUUUUCUAUAAAUUUUGUACUAACUUGUAUAUGUGUCUUUUGCAUGAAACAUGGGGUUCCCAAUGUAUUUAUGUUGAUCCAGGUCUGUUAUAUUUGUUGCAUGCACCUGUGGCAUCAAAGUUUAGUUAACUGUAGGGGCUCCAUGGAGAUUCUUGGAGAAACGAGGAAGAAGAACUGAAUUAGUUUGUCAUGCACAAAUAUCUGGGCAAGAGGGGAGUGAGAGAGUGGUUAGUUUUUGACUCGGUGUGG